rnacentral:misc_RNA from 1 species
CCGAGUGCGGGCCCUCUGGGUCCAACCUCCCACCCGUGUUUAUCGUACCUUGUUGCUUCGGCGGGCCCGCCGUCAGGCCGCCGGGGGGCGUCUCGCCCCCGGGCCCGCGCCCGCCGAAGACACCAUCGAACGCUGUCUGAAGGUUGCCGUCUGAGUCGAUUAUCAAAUCGUUA